CAGCCGCCGCGGUAAUACGUAGGUGGCAAGCGUUGUCCGGAAUUAUUGGGCGUAAAGGGCUCGCAGGCGGUUUCUUAAGUCUGAUGUGAAAGCCCCCGGCUCAACCGGGGAGGGUCAUUGGAAACUGGGAAACUUGAGUGCAGAAGAGGAGAGUGGAAUUCCACGUGUAGCGGUGAAAUGCGUAGAGAUGUGGAGGAACACCAGUGGCGAAGGCGACUUUCUGGUCUGUAACUGACGCUGAGGCUCGAAAGCGUGGGUAGCGAACAGGAUUAGAUACCCCCGUAGUCCCUGUCUCUUAUAC
rnacentral:rRNA from 1 species